CUGGUUGAUCCUGCCAGUAGUCAUAUGCUUGUCUCAGAGAUUAAGCCAUGCAUGUCAAAGUGCAUACCUUAAAACGGUGAAACCGCGAAUGGCUCAUUAAAUCAGCUAAGGUUCCUUAGAUCGUAAACGCUACAUGGAUAAAUCUCUUUCCGCAACCAUCUGAAUCAUGACCUCAAAAUAUUCACUAUACAUCAUGCCAACUAUCUUGAGCACUCUACACCAUACAGAAAAAGUCCGUGAAAAGAUAAUUUGGAACAGUAAUGAACAUUGGGUUGUAUGAGUUAAUGUCACGUAACCCUAAGAGCAUGUGGUUUAUUUAUGUAGUAAUUCAUACUGAAUACUUGCAACACACUACUUAUUAACAAUACGUAAAACACACAAGUAGGCUUAACGAGACACUAUAUCAAAUACUUCAUAAUCUGAAUCAUACUGUUACUGACUACAAUAAUCAGUUCAUACUACCACAUACACAGAUAUGUUUUUCUCUGUCAAUUAGAUAUAGAUCAACGGCUUGGAAAGGACAAUGUAUCAUUGAAAUUAAAUCUGAUGUUCAAGUGUUCACGUAAUUAUGCAACAACCACUUGUCCCAACACAGACUGUGAUACACAAGGGGACGACACUUUGAAUAACGUCGACAUCCUUCUAAAGUAAAAAAAGAACACCUCUAAUAUAAGAAGAAAAAAAAACUGGAAAUCAAUUCUUUCCAUGUGUAAUAAUAAUUCUAUUAUAUUUCAAGUACUAUUUUGUGUCGUGUUCAAGAAAUCGUUUUCAAUUUUCAACAGUUCACUUUCAAUGAAAUGCAUUGCAGUUCUCUUAUUACAAUCUUAAGAGGCAUCAAUUUACAUAACUGAACACAUUCAGUUCGACUUCAACUUGUUCAAUGGGAAAAUAAUUAUUUAUUUUAAUAUGGACACCUUUUAACAGUCACGGGUACGAAUGGUGGUCAGAUAGAGUGGAUGUGGCUUUGCUCAGAAGUUACAAUUUCAUAUUGAACGACGAUGAAAUCGUCUCACAGAAUUUGUUGAAUAAAGCAAUGUUCAUGAGUAAAAAAUAUGCUGUGAAUUAUGAGAUAUAUAUUUGAAAGAUAAAUUAAAUAAAAAAGAAUGAACCAAAUCGGCCGAGCCGUUCAAAAGUAAUGAUCGGAUGACGGAUGAUGACGGAUCUUUCAAAUGUCUGCCUUAUCAAUUUGUUUGUAGGUGAUUUGCCUACCAUGAUGAUAACGGGUAACAGGGAAUCAGAGUUCGAUUCCGGAGAAGGAGCCUGAGAAAUGGCUACCUCAUCCAAGUACGGCAGCAGGCGCGAAAAUUACCCACUCCCGGCACGGGGAGGUAGUUAUGCGGAAAAGUGUGUUCA
rnacentral:ncRNA from 1 species